rnacentral:tRNA from 1 species
GAGGGUGUAGCUCAGUGGUAGAGCACAUGCUUAGCAGGCACGAGGUCCCAGGUUCAAUCCCCGGUACCUCCA